ACAACGCACAUACCACAUAAGGGAUUAUGGUGAAGUUUCUAAUUGACAGGUUGGUGACUCACGAGUUACAUGUUGGUGUGACCAUUGCUUGAUAUUACACUGCAGUGAUAUUACAGUUUGCAUUACUGUGUUUGACACCCUCCUCCAUGAUAAGUUAUUUAUAUUGGAUGUGCAACCAAAGGUCAUACUUGCCAAGCAUAUCAACCCGAAAGAUGGUGGGAGAACUAUUUUUUUAUACCAACAAUGAGUGCAACGUUAGCCAGAGCUUUCUGCAGGCGUAAGUAUUUCAGACUUAAAUCAAACACUUAUACAAUUACAAAAAUUAUGUACCUUAUCUCUCACCAUGUAUAUUCAUGAGAGAGAGAAUGACUGCUGUGAGCUCCUCCUCUUCUUCUACCAAAUAUGGUGGUGUUCAAAAAUUAAGAACUCUCACAAUCAGAGAGCCUCAAUGCGUACGCCCUAACUUCCCUGUCACAUGUCAAAACUUUAUCUAAACCCCCGUUUUUAUCACCCAUAGUCUAUGCCUGUAUUCUAUUUUAAUUUGGGAAAGAGGUGACUACGGCUUUCAUUUGCAUUGCAAAAGUGGAAUGCAUCGAAAAUUCUAAUGGGUGGUGGCUACAUCGGUUGUGCGAAAUGUUCUUCUAAACUUUCCCAUGGGUUUUCUUCAUUCACUUGCCCAACAUGUCAACUUGCCUAUUGCUGACAAUAUUCUUUACCGUAGAGAAAUGAUGCAUAAACAAUGCUACAAUGGUUUUAAAUUCAGGUACCGUGUGCAGCUAUCAAUUUCAGAUGCUUCGGAUUCUGCCAGCGCAUUUGACUGUCAAAUAACCACGUUAAAUAACAUCCGUGCUGCAGAGGUUGCACAGAUUCAGAACACAGUUGCUGAUGAAUCCCAUGAAAGACCACUUCCAGAAUCCCUAGACGAGUUAGUGGGUUCUCAAGAUCACGGAGUUCAACUUCACCUCAAAGCAUCAAUAGUUGACCAUCUCCUGCAUAUUUGACAAGCAUCAGCGUCCAUCUCUCCCACACUUCGCAGAACAAAUAAGUACAAGUAUUGUUUGAAACAUACCUGAGCUGAACAACCCUCCUUUUCUGAUAUUACUUGCGCUUUUGUUAACGUCCAGGGAGGUGAUAAUCACCCUGGUUAUGUCAUACCUGGAGCUGGAGAGGCGUCCGCUAAGCCAUCCCAUGGUCUGAUUUGUGAUGCUUCUGAGGAAACAAAUGGAGGUGUUAGUGUUGGGAUUGUUGAAGGCAGUGACACUGAUAUACGUGUACCAACUGCUGAAACUGCUUUAGGUGGCUCCACAACUGAGAAAGAACCACCCAAGGAGGAUGUGCUUGAGGGGAAGAAGCCACACAUUGCUUAGCUCCAAAAGCUAAGAACUUCUUGAGCUCAAAGUUGAAAACCUUACCUCUAUCCUUUUACUCGUCCAUUUUUAAUAUUACAAUUAUCAGAGACUUCUUUUAAAUGGAACAUGUUUUAGUGUUUUAUUUUAUCUUAAGUUUUAAUUGUCGCUUUGACUUGGAAACUGAGUAUAUGUUUGUUCAUAAAUAAAGUUUUCUUGGAAUAAUACUGUACUG